GACGAACGCUGGCGGCGUGCUUAACACAUGCAAGUCGAACGGAAAGGCCCUGCUUUUGUGGGGUGCUCGAGUGGCGAACGGGUGAGUAACACGUGAGUAACCUGCCCUUGACUUUGGGAUAACUUCAGGAAACUGGGGCUAAUACCGGAUAGGAGCUCCUGCUGCGUGGUGGGGGUUGGAAAGUUUCGGCGGUUGGGGAUGGACUAGCGGCUUAUCAGCUUGUUGGUGGGGUAGUGGCUUACCAAGGCUUUGACGGGUAGCCGGCCUGAGAGGGUGACCGGCCACAUUGGGACUGAGAUACGGCGCAGACUCCUACGGGAGGCAGCAGUGGGGAAUAUUGCACAAUGGGCGGAAGCCUGAUGCAGCAACGCCGCGUGCGGGAUGACGGCCUUCGGGUUGUAAACCGCUUUCGCCUGUGACGAAGCGUGAGUGACGGUAAUGGGUAAAGAAGCACCGGCUAACUACGUG
rnacentral:rRNA from 1 species